UGGCAGAAAGAAGAGUAACUUUGUCAUUGGUCAGUUGCAGAGACACCCCCUGGGUGGGUGCAAAACUGGGGGAAAUGAUGAUGUGGGUAUACAGAUGAUUCCUUUAUUGACUUAAGUGUCCAGUUCUAUAGAGAGUGAGGUGCAAAACCCAAGAGACAAAAGGUGACAAUCCUAAAUAACCAGGGGCUUAGCCUCCUAUUCAGAAGACUAAUGUAUUCAUAAUUGUUUAGCUUUCUCUUCCAUCAAAAUUUAUUUAUUUAUUUGCAGCAAAGGAGAUUCAGAGUGGCCUUAACAAAAGGCAACAAUUCAAUCUAUAUAUAUAAAAGAGUGAUGGAAUCCUGGCGACCGCCAAAACAACAAAACUAAACACCCCACAACCUCGAAAACUGACAACACAACCCAUCAUCCACGCCUCUAGGUUGAUACAACAAAAAGAAAAGAAAAAUAAAGUCCUAAUUAGAGGGAGAGGAAGAAUUGUUUUUAUCCAAUUGCUGCCAGUUAGAAGGCUAAGCUCCGCCCACUUGGUCUCCUAGCAACCCACUCACCCAGGGGACAGGCAGAGUUAGGCCUCACUUAGGCCUCUUCCACACUGCCUAUAAAAUACAGAUUAUCAGAUUUUAACUGGAUUAGAUGGCAGUGUAUACUCAAGGCCCUUCCACACAGCUAUAUAACCCAUAUAAUCUUAUAUUAUCUGCUUUAACUGGAUUAUCUGGACUCCACACCUUUACCCUUUACCUUAACUAUUACCAAUUCCUCAAUACUUUAUUUCCCAUACCACCAUACUUCGCCACAGCAACGCGUGGCCGGGCACAGCUAGUGUUUUAUAAAACAGACAUAUAAUAAAAAUAAACAUAUACAUUAAAAUGCAAAUUUUAAAAGCAUAUACACAUUAAAAACAGUUUUUAAAAACCACACAAUCUGAAAUCAUAGCCAAGAGCCAUUCCAGUCGUGAUUGCACAUAUUCUAUCUUCACUUAUUGCAUUGCAUUAUUGUCAAAGGCUUGGUCUCAAAGCCAUGUUUUUACUUUCUUUCUAAAGGUUAGGAAGGAGCUGAGCUGAUCUGAUCUGACAAAAUGACAAGCCUCCAGCCUCAGUCAAACAGGUUGGCAUGUGAGGUAGGAGAACAAAUUGCAUCUGUCUGGCUGUUUAUGUAACCAAUGAAUAGAAACCACACAGCAAUAAAGUUACUUUGAAACACUGA